AGAGCACUCGAAGUCGACAAGGAGAAGAGAGAGAUCCAGAUGUUGAGCUAGAGCACCAGCAAUGCUUAGCAGUAUUCAGUAGAGUGAAAUUCACUCGUGUGUUACUGACAGUGCUUAUAGGCUUUACUAAGAAAGAGACCAGUGCUGUUGCAGAAGCUCAAAAAUUGAUGGUUCAAGCGUCAGAUCUUCUUUCUGCUGUUCAUAAUUCUUUGCAUCAUGGCAUCCAGGCUCAGAAUGACACUACAAA